GGCAAGUCAACAUUAAUGCCACGUACUAAUUUUAGUACUUUAUCAGUUUAUCCAAUUCAACACCAACCAUGGUUUUCUAUUUCUGCUUCUCCACUCUCUGGUGGGUUACAGUCAUCAAUCAGAUUUCCAAGGUUUGAUUCUCUCAUCUUUCAAAUGAUGCCCUUUUAUUCGUACUAUGUAAUUUGCAUAAUUUCUUUCUAGGAUGAAUUCGAUUGCAUGGUUUUGUGUUGUGAUUAUUUUCUCAAAAUCAUCACUCUGAAACUCACUACUGUAGUUUCCUGCUGUUUAUCUCAUUCUUUCAUUCAUCUUUUAUGGUGGUAGCUUGAUCACAUUUUCCAGUGGUGAUCACUGAUGCUAGAAUAGUCUUUAAUUUGGUGUCCUCUGGCCAUACUUGGAAUGUUCAUUAUUACAAAUUUUGAUUUAAUUUACAAAAUUUANNN
rnacentral:lncRNA from 1 species